CUAAUCCUUUUGGUUUCCUGUUUCAUUAAAAUGCAGCCAAGUUGCUUUCAAAAAAAAAAAAGCAGCAAGUUGAUUGUCUACUAGUGACAUGGCAAUUUUCUUGUGAAAUCAGAAUUUAGGUCAGGCGAGUCGACUGGUCCGCCACUUUGUGCGCUUUACAUGAGAGCAUAAUUUAGCAAGCUUAAUGAGACAACUACAUUUUCGUUUUCUUUAGGAUCUUUUUUUUUUCCUACUUUUUUAAUAUGCAUUUGUUGGUGAUUGUAUUCAAGAAGUCAAACGAGGAAUUCUGUUUCCCAUUUCCCACAAAGAUGUACAAGCAAUGUUUUCUAUGACUCCCAUGCUUCCUGGAAUUUCAUGAUGUCAAUACCAAAAAAAAAAACUCCACACGGGUGACACUUUUGUGCAUUGAUCAGGAUCAUAGAUUUGGUGGGCCAUCAUGUGGAUAGGACUUAUGAGCACAAAAAUCCAGAUGACGAGCUUAUGGUAGCAAUUCCAACAGUGGUCUGAAUAUGGACAUUUUUGUCACCAUGUUGAGCUAAAACAAUGCAUUGUUAAUGCAAAUGGGUACGUGAUGGACUGAUCUGGAUCUAUCUUCUUUUGAAAUCUUUAGCUAGAAAUGUUGUAGAAUAGUCUCCAAAGAUGAAGUUGCUGUGGAAAUGAUUCCCACCAGCCCACUGGUCGAAACUACUGAUCAAUCAAUCUCCUCUGUUUCAACCAGAGGCAACACAUGCCAAAAGGGAAUCAACACACGCUAAACACGAAAUUUUAUUAAAAGUAACCACAAUGUGCUGUUACGCGCAAAGCCAAAGAGGCAGUUAUCGUUUGGCAACUAAAGAAAAACCUAAUAUAAUAAGAAAUGACCAAAAUGCCCUUGAAUCUCAUCACAAACAUAUAGGCUUAUCUUAAACUGGUUGGACCUCACAUAAACUGUAUCAGAAUUGUAUGAUCAUGGGAUCAUUCUGAAGCUGGCUCGAUAGUGACCAAUUUCAUGAUGUUCUAAUAUUGUUAUGCCCAGAAAAUGGCCCACCAAAAAGUAACGAAAUACCAAAGGGAAACUUGUUGAACCAAUACUGACUCAGUCUAACCCUAAAAAUUAAUUUAAAUAAAUAAAUCCUAUGAAUUCUAGGACCAUUUGUUUGAUUGUAUGGGCCCCAUAAUAUAUAUCUGGCUGUUCAUCUCAUCAAACUUUGGAUCAAACAUAGAUCAUCAAUCAAGACAAUAUGGAUGGUUGGAGUAGUCAGGUCUUUGGUCAGCCAGAUUUUGUGGCCUUUUGGGUGCAGCAAAUGUCCACAUUCAAUGGGCAAAACUCAGAACAUUUGGCAUAUGGACCAUUUCAUGGGUCACAGUUUUUUAUUCCUUUGUUUAUCUUCUUGUAAUGUAUAUAGUUUUAGCAGAUUCUAUAAGUAUACUGUUUACUGAUUAUCUUAAAGAAACAAUUAACUGGAGUGUGAAGGCCAUUAGGAGGAAGACAACCGGUACGAGUAGGAUGAGGUAUUUACAUCAUGUACCUCGAAGGUUCAAGAGCAAUUUCAGAGAAGGGACCCAAGUGGCUCCGAGGAAGACAACUGCUUCUGCAUGGAGGAAUUGCUUCAGUUUUGGGGCAUGUCUCAAGUAUCCAGUUCCUAUAGUUGAUCUUGUUGUAUUUUAUCAAUUAGUCUUUUACACUGGAGAUAUUGCUAUCUUCUAUAGAGAAUAGACUUUUUGACAUCUAAAAUUGCCGAAUAAGCAUGAAGUUUUAGUACUGGGAUAAACCA